GACGAACGCUGGCGGCGUGCCUAAUACAUGCAAGUUGAGCGCUGAAGGUUGGUACUUGUACCGACUGGAUGAGCAGCGAACGGGUGAGUAACGCGUGGGGAAUCUGCCUUUGAGCGGGGGACAACAUUUGGAAACGAAUGCUAAUACCGCAUAAAAACUUUAAACACAAGUUUUAAGUUUGAAAGAUGCAAUUGCAUCACUCAAAGAUGAUCCCGCGUUGUAUUAGCUAGUUGGUGAGGUAAAGGCUCACCAAGGCGAUGAUACAUAGCCGACCUGGGAGGGUGAUCGGCCACAUUAGGACUGAGACACGGCGCAAACUCCUACGGGAGGCAGCAGUAGGGAAUCUUCGGCAAUGGACGAAAGUCUGACCGAGCAACGCCGCGUGAGUGAAGAAGGUUUUCGGAUCGUAAAACUCUGUUGGUAGAGAAGAACGUUGGUGAGAGUGGAAAGCUCAUCAAGUGACGGUAACUACCCAGAAAGGGACGGCUAACUACGUGCCAGCCGCCGCAGUAA
rnacentral:rRNA from 1 species